rnacentral:lncRNA from 1 species
UUCUUUACAUCACUUUAUUUUGCUAACUCUAGCAAUCAUUGUUCUUUAACUUUACUCGUUCUUUAUGCCACUUUCAUUUUCUUUCCCUAUCUCUAAUCAUUAUCAUUGUUCUUUGCGUCACAUUUCUCUUUGAUGCCACACACACUAACUCUAGUGUCACUUUUCUUUACAUUAUCGAAUGCCACUCGAUCUAUAUUUUAUUGUGUCACUUUGUUCUUUCAUCUCAUUGGGUGCUCACAUUAUAUCUCAUGCAUACAUAUAGGGUUAAAUAGGCUCUCAAACAUUUCAAAUAGCAUGUGUACUCACAUCAUGCAACAUUCACAUGUAUAUCAUCACAUCUACCCUAUAAUGCAUGCAACAAUAUAAAUAUAUGCUCAAUUGAAUGACACAUUAGGCAUAGAGGGAAUUCCAACAAGUUUGGAUAGCAACCCACCUCGUAAGCGUACUAGGAUACUACAAUGAUUUUCUUGGGAUUUUUAGCCUCUUAGUUCAUCACCUGCGGCAAAACGAAGUCCCAUUAGGCUAUUUUGCUCAUAUCUUUACAUUGGCUUUUCGUAACGUCAAUCCGAGCGCACCAACGCGUCGGAAAUACCCCCAAUUAGGUUUCUAGAGGGUCAAUUUCGCUUUGAAACCCUCCAGAGCAAAAGCCCCAAAUUUGGGUGCCCUAGCUCAUAGCGUAUCAAAACCUAGGGUUUGAUCUCUUAGAGAAGCAAAAGUAAGCUUCAAAUCAUCUAAAGGUUCCAUUUGAACCAUCCUUAGCUCAUUCAAAACCCAUUUUAGGGUUUCACCAUGGGAGGGAUGGAAGCUUUCCUCUAAGCUUCACCACCAACACCCAAAUCCAUGGUUUUGAUCUCUAAAAGAAGCAAAAGAAAGCUUCAAAUACUUAAUAGGUUCCAUUAAAACCAUUUCUAGGUCCAUUCAAACCCUAGUUGAGCUUUACCACUAUUGGGGUUCAAAGCUUACCUUGUAAGCUUUCCUUUUCCAAGCUAGGGAAGGAGAGGAGGGGUCUUCUUUUCCUCCUUGCCUUCUUCUUCACCUUCUUUCUCUUCUUUUCCUCUUCUUUCUUUGUCUUCUUCUUCUCCUUCUUGUCUUCUAGAGAGAGAAAGAGAGAUGAGAGGGAGUGUGUGAGGGAGAGAAUGAGAGGAAAAAGCCCUCAAAGCCCUCCACUUAACCAUUAGGUUGCACAAAAGCAAAUAGGCCCCCCAACUUUCAUUUUAUUGAACUGCUCAAACUGGGCAGAUUUCGGGUUCGGGGACCGGUCUCCCCGACUUGGGACCGGUCCCAGAGAGCUGCUCCCCGCAGCUGCGCAGGGCUCCCCGCGAUGCAACCGGUCUCUCCCAGGGGGACCGGUCUCUCGGGGAUCGGUCUCUCUCCGCAGGGAUCGGUUCCCGAGAGCUGGUUUUCUGGGACUUAGCCGAUUUUCGGCCUUUCUCAUUUCUCACGCGUUCGGGGACUGGUCUCUCCCACCAGGGACCGGUCCCCGAGAGCACAAAACCUGCAGAAUGCAGAUUUUUGAUUCUUUAGCUCUCGAAAACCUCCCACAACGCACUUUCGGUCAUUUUAACACCUUCGGACUUUCCGAAGUGCACCAUCCUCGGGCUUUGGUCAAUUUGACUAAAGUUCGAUAUUUAUUUUCCGAAUUUUCGGUAUAUUAUAUUCUCCACCCCUUAAAAUAAUUUCGUCCACGAAAUUACGCAUACCUUAACUUGUCGACUCAAAUAAAUGCGGAUACUCUCUCCGCAUGGUCUCCUUGAGCUCCCAAGUGGCUUCUCGCACAGCAUGGUUGUUCCAUUAGACUUUCACAUACGGAAUUCUUUCUUCUCUUUCAAGGAUGCACACCGGGUACUCCUCAUAAGACAUAUCCUCACGUAACUCCAGGGGCUCGUGCUCUAACAUAUGUGUCGAGUUACGAAUAUACUUUCGGAGAUUUGACACAUGAAAAAUAUUGUAAACUCUCGCGAGUCUCGGUGGUAGUGCGAGCUUGUACGCUACUGCCCCCACACGCUCUAGUAUCUCGAAUGGUCCAACAUAACGAGGACUUAGCUUCCCGCGGACCCCAAAACGUUUGACUCCUCGCAUCGGCGAUACUCUUAAUAAUACGCGGUCUCCAACCGCAAACUCUAAGUCCUUUCUUCGCUUAUCGGCAUAACUCUUUUGUCGAGAUUGCGUCGCCGCUAAUCGUUGACGGGCAAGACGAACCUUUUCUUCCGCCUCCCGUACCACAUCCGGGCCAAGAGCCGUUCUCUCGCCCACAUCGCUCCAAUGAAUAGGAGAACGACACUUUCGACCAUAUAGUGCUUCAAAUGGCACCAUCGCUAUACUCUCUUGAUAACUGUUAUUAUACGCGAACUCCGCCAUCAGCAAAAAAUCAUGCCAUCCUCCCUUAUAAUCCAGUGCACACGCUCAAAGCAAGUCCUCGAGAAUCUGUAUUGUUCGCUCUGACUGUCCAUCACUUUGAGGAUGAAACGCUGUGCUGAAGUCGAGCCGUGUGCCUAGCGCGUCCUGCUGGCUCUUCCAAAAGUGGGAUGUGAACCUGGGGUCUCGAUUCGAUACAAUUGAUACCGGAACCCCAUGAAGUCUCACAACCUCGUCGAGAUAAACUUGAGCUAGCUUGUCUCCCGACCACGUAGUAUGUAUCGGCAAGAAGUGUGCCGACUUUGUCAAUUGAUCCACUAUCACCCAUAUUGCAUCAUGUCCGCCUUGUGAUCGAGGCAAACCGGUAAUAAAGUCCAUCGCUAUAUCUUCCCAUUUCCAAACGGGUAUUGAUAGACUUUGUAGCUUUCCCGCCGAAAAUCGGCGCUCGGCUUUCACCUGUUGGCACAUUAAACAUUGCGCCACGAACUCCCUAAUAUCUUUCUUCAUACCCGGCCUCCAAUAAUACUCUUUCAAGUCCUUGUACAUUUUAGUGCCGCUCGGGUGUAUACUAUAAGGGGAUUGGUACGCUUCUUGCAUGAUCGCCCUUCGUAACUCAUCAUCCUUAGGCACACACCAUUGAUUUCUAAAUCGAAGUGCGCCCUCGGCUCCAAUACCAAAGUCUUCGGCAUUACCACUCUCAACUUCACUUCGUACUUUUUGAAGAUAAGGAUCCGAAGCUUGGAGUUCCUUGAUCUUUUCCAACAGGGUCGGUUGCACAACUAAUGCGGCAAGUGUAGCUGACACUCCCGGCGCUACCACUUCCAACCCAAGUCUUUGCAAUAUUUUUUGCAAUAGCGGUUGAGGCGUAAUUGCCAUCGCUAAGUUCUCCGCUGAUUUUCUACUCAAAGCAUCGGCCACGACAUUAGCUUUCCCGGGGUGGUAUAGUAUAGUGACAACAUAGUCCUUUAGCAAUUCUAACCACCGCCGCUGUCGCAUGUUCAACUCCUUCUUGGUGAACAAGUACUUUAGACUUUUAUAAUCCGUGUAGAUCUCGCAAUGCUCACUAUACAAGUAAUGCCUCCAAAGCUUUAGCGCGAAGAUCACCGCAGCUAACUCAAGGUCGUGAAUCGGAUAGUUCUUCUCAUAGCUCUUUAAUUGGCACGAUGCAUAAGCAAUGACCCGCCCUUUUUGCAUUAGUACACACCCAAGACCAACAUAAAAGGCAUCACUGUAGACUACAAAAGUCUCCCCCGGAGUCAGUAAGGCAAGCACCGGGGUCGACGUCAAUCUGCUCUUUAACUCUUCGAAGCUCCGAUCACAAUCGUCGCUCAAGACAUACUUUACUCCUUUAUGCAUGAGGCGCGUUAGUGGAGUAGUUAUUUUAGCGAACCCCUACACGAACCGCCGGUAGUAGCCCGCAAGUCCAAAAAAACUGCGGACCUUUGCUACAUUCGUUGGGCGAGGCCAAUCCUUUAUUGCCUCUACCUUCUUCGGAUCUACCGAAACUCCGUCGCCCGAUACCACAUGACCCAAGAAUGUGACUUCCUUUAGCCAAAAGUCACACUUCUUUAACUUUGCAUAGAGCUUCUCCUGUCUGAGUAUUUGCAACACAGCUCUCAGAUGCUCCUCGUGCUCCUCUUCAUUCUUUGAGUAAACCAAUACGUCGUCUAUAAACACCACGACGCACCGGUCCAAUAACGGCCUGAAGACUCGGUUCAUCAAGUCCAUAAAUGCUGCCGGGGCAUUAGUAAGUCCAAAUGGCAUUACCGUGAACUCAUAAUGGCCAUACCGCGUACGGUACGCCGUCUUGUGCACAUCCUUCGGCCUAAUCUUUAGUUGAUGAUACCCCGAUUGGAGAUCAAUCUUCGAAUACACCUUGGACCCUUGCAACUGAUCGAAUAAAUCGUCAAUCCUUGGCAACGGGUACUUGUUCUUUAUCGUUACUUUCUUCAACUCGCGAUAAUCUACGCAGAGUCGAAGUGUGCCAUCCUUUUUCUUUACAAAUAGCACCAGAGCUCCCCACGGUGACACGCUCGGCCUCACGAAGCCUUUAUCGAGCAAGUCUUGUAAUUGGCCUUUUAGCUCCUUUAACUCUACCGGUGCCAUUCUAUACGAAGCAUUCGAAACUGGUUCCGCCCCGGGAAUCAAGUCAAUGACGAACUCAACUUUCCAGUCCGGCGGCAGUCCUGGUAACUCCGCCGGAAACACAUCCGGGUACUCGCACACUACUCGAAUAUCCCCCAACUCUGGGUACUCCUCCUUUCGAGCAUCCACCAUGGUUGCCAAAUAGGCCUUACACCCUCCUUUGAUCAUCCUCUUUGCCAUUACAGACGAUAUGGUCGCCACGAAGCGCCUACUUUUGCACGCUUGGUACACCAAUUCUUCUUGAUCAAGCUCACAAAAAGUGAUCACCUUGCUUUCACAAUCUAUAACCGCAUAGUACUUGGAGAGCCAGUUGGUCCCCAAGAUAACAUCGAAUCCCCACAUCUGAUCUAGCACCAGCAGAUCAAUCGGCAUAAUCCAAUCGCCUAUUUGCACUGGACACGCCAAACACUCAUUGUGGACACUGAAUGAAUGUUCAGGGACGUUCACCCACCAGUAAUCCUCAUUGUAUAUCAUCUCUAUGCCAUGAGUUUGAGCAAAUGAUCCGCUAAUGAAUGAAUGAGAUGCGCCUGUAUCAAAUACUGUUCUAGCUCUAGUGCCUUUAAUCACAAUUAUACCUGCCACGACGUCAUCGGGUGCUGCAGGUUGUUGCUCCUCCACCUGAGCGGCAAAGACUCGGCCACUAGGCGCUCUUGAUCCCUCCGGCUGACGCAGUGAUGACGCGCGCCCAGCCGACAUUGCUGGUGGCAACCCCGCAAGCUGUCUCGGGGUAGACGGUGAUGAUACCACUGCCGGUGCAGACGACGUCCACGUCGGAUACUCCCGGAUAAGAUGUCCCAGUUGGCCGCACUUGAAACACUUGCCAUCGCGCUGCGGGCAAGUCGACACUCGGUGCUCACCGCCACAAAUAACACAUCAAGGAGGUCUCCAGUUCUUCGACUGCUGUCGGGGAUACCGAGAGGGUUUCUUAGUAUUUGGCCGGCCCCCGGCACCACCCGCCGUUCGCUUCUUGCCCUUGUCCUUGCUCUCGGCCAUAGCCUCCUGUUCUUCACGUACGUGGGCGCUACCGUGCUCCGCCCACAAUGCCCUGUCAAAGAUCCCCGCAAAGGUCGACAAUUUCAGAAUCUGCACCUUUUCAUAGAUCCUCGGCUGGAGUCCUCGCAAGAACCAAUCAGCCCGAUCCCGAUCAUCUCGAACAACAUCGGGAACACAGUCAAUAAUGUGAGAGAACUCUUGCUCAUAUUCCCCCACCGAUCGAUCACCCUGUCUCAACUUGCGGAACUUCUCUUGUAGUCUCCGCUUUACCGUGUCGAGAAAGUAGUUCGCGAAGAUUGCUCUCUUGAACUCCUCCCACAGCAUAAGCGGAAGAUCGGUAGGUCGAUCCCGCUUGACUCGCUUCCACCACACCAUCGCCGCCUUCUCAAGACAAUGGGUUGUAAGGUACACUUUGUCCUUCUCCGAGGUAUUGAGAUCCUCGAAGAGCGUUUCCAUCGAGUCGAUCCACGACUCCACAACCGCUGGCUCCACCAAACCGCCUUCAAAGGUAGGUGGGUCAAACUUCUUAAAUUGAAUAAGAGCUGCCAACGUGCGCUCUCGCUCCGCCUCUAUCGCCGCAUUAUCGGGAUUUGAGGUUCCCGACCCAGCUGGUACUACCGUAACUGGAACAGCCGCUGCUGCCGCUGCUCCCCCGUCUACGCUUGGCACUACCACAGGGGGUGCGACAUGCUCGACACCCGCCUGGGCCGCCGCCGCUUGCUGAUGCUCCAAGGCCUCCUGGAGCCGCUGAAUCUGUUCCCCUUGGCGUUGAACAGACUCCGCUUGUUGCCGCACUACGCCUAUAAGUGCGGCCAUCUGCUCCCUAAGCUCUCCAUCGCCACUCGCUCCGGAUCGCUCGGGCUCUGCAUUCGGCUCUUGUGGCAUCGACCUUGUCUGCGGUCGACCACGAGGUGCCAUUACUUCCUGAAAAGAAGCAACUCGCAUUAGUUACAUAACCAACAUUACUUGACCAUACCCAAUUCGGCGAAAGCAACUUAUGCAUUCGUUCUCGCCCAAAGCAUCAUGUCGUCGGCCGCCCGACACAAAACAAGGAGUAGGAAACAAAUGAAAAUUAAACUUAGCCUCUAAUCACAUUAGAGACGUCCCAACUUAACCCAAUCACAUACUUUCGCUAACUUUGAUUCCACGUCACUCACGUUUUCUAGAUCCUUAAGGUCUUCCAAUCCUAAGGGUCUCUAGGUCCAUUCCUAUUCUUUUACUCUUGGCUCUGAUACCACGAUAUCUGUCACGCCCCGGGACCGAUACCAAUUUGGCCCGGCCCGAGCACGUCAAAUAGACGCCGAACGGUCAGAGUUUCCCCUGUCCGCCCAAGGCUCAUCACAUGUACAUUUUCAAACAAGAAGUGCACUAGCGGAAACAUACAUAAACGGCUUACACGAGGGUAAGCAAUAGCCAUGAGUGAAAGAAAGGAAGCUAACUACUACAUAAGUAUUAUGAUUCAUUUUCGAUCAUAUACAUUUCAUUUCAUCCAACUUGUACAUUCAUAAGGUCUUUACAUUUCUUUUCAUCAUUUCUUUUUACAUCACAUUAGCUCAAAUGAAGCAUUACAUUCUUUGCUUUACAUCACUAGUCAUCAAAUACAAAAGAUGAUCAUAGGUAUACUACUACAAAAUGUAAAACUCGACUUGGUAGUCACUGUCAAAGGCGCGAUACCUUUACCGCAGUCGCUCGCCAGCUCGCUCGGUCCCGGCUCUGUGGAAUAGUGGGGUGAGAACUACAACAAAGUUCCCAGUGGGUUCGGCCCCAAUCUCACCGACUUUUCCACUAGAACUAACUCAGGCAUAAUAGAAAGGAUAAGCAAAAUAGUAGCCAAACUAUAAUGAUGAUGCUAAUAUGCCUGAACAAUAAAGCAGGAAGUAUGCUCAAUGUAAAUCAUGCAAGUAUGCAAGUUCUUUGUUCUUUACUCUUUGUUCUUUAACCUUUGUUCUUUGUUCUUUAAUCUCAAGGCUAACCCGGGGGUUUCGCGACAUUAACUUGCCCACAUUAAGUCCACCAUCGCAGGCCCUCAGCUGCCUACCACUAAGACUGUCCUUGGGUUUACUCCAACCCGUGAUGCAAAAACUCCGGAGCGCAUCGCUUGAGGAGGAGUGACCGCCCUUGAGCACGGAACUCAUAGCAAGUAUGAUCGAUCCUUAACUCUAAGGAUAUAUAGUUCAAUCAUUGUCUUUACACUAAUUCUAGUGUUCUUUACAUCACUUUAUUUUGCUAACUCUAGCAAUCAUUGUUCUUUAACUUUACUCGUUCUUUAUGUCACUUUCAUUUUCUUUCCCUGUCUCUAAUCAUUAUCAUUGUUCUUUGCGUCACAUUUCUUUUUGAUGCCACACACACUAACUCUAGUGUCACUUUUCUUUACAUUAUCAAAUGCCACUCGAUCUAUGUUUUAUUGUGUGACUUUGUUCUUUCAUCUCAUUGGGUGCUCACAUUAUAUCUCAUGCAUACAU